GCCUAACACAUGCAAGUCGAGCGGAUGAAGGGAGCUUGCUCCUGGAUUCAGCGGCGGACGGGUGAGUAAUGCCUAGGAAUCUGCCUGGUAGUGGGGGAUAACGUCCGGAAACGGGCGCUAAUACCGCAUACGUCCUGAGGGAGAAAGUGGGGGAUCUUCGGACCUCACGCUAUCAGAUGAGCCUAGGUCGGAUUAGCUAGUUGGUGGGGUAAAGGCCUACCAAGGCGACGAUCCGUAACUGGUCUGAGAGGAUGAUCAGUCACACUGGAACUGAGACACGGUCCAGACUCCUACGGGAGGCAGCAGUGGGGAAUAUUGGACAAUGGGCGAAAGCCUGAUCCAGCCAUGCCGCGUGUGUGAAGAAGGUCUUCGGAUUGUAAAGCACUUAAGUUGGGAGGAAGGGCAGUAAGUUAAUACCUUGCUG
rnacentral:rRNA from 1 species